UAGGGAAUAUUGCACAAUGGACGCAAGUCUGAUGCAGCAACGCCGCGUGUGUGAAGAAGGCUCUUGGGUCGUAAAGCACUUUCGUUUGGGAAGAAGGGACCGCUUGCGAACAGUUAGUGGUUUUGACGGUACCAAAAUAAGAAGCACCGGCUAACUCCGUGCCAGCAGCCGCGGUAAUACGGAGGGUGCAAGCGUUGUUCGGAAUUACUGGGCGUAAAGCGCACGUAGGCGGACUGGUAAGUCAAUUGUGAAAGCCCAGGGCUCAACCUUGGAAUUGCAGUUGAAACUACCAGUCUUGAAUGCCUGAGGGGAUGGCGGAAUUCCUGGUGUAGUAGUGAAAUACGUAGAUAUCAGGAGGAACACCCGAGGCGAAGGCGGCCAUCUGGCGGUGCAUUGACGCUGAGGUGCGAUAGUGUGGGUAGCAAACAGGAUUAGAUACCCCUGUAGUCC
rnacentral:rRNA from 1 species